rnacentral:rRNA from 1 species
AAAUUGAAGAGUUUGAUCAUGGCUCAGAUUGAACGCUGGCGGCAGGCCUAACACAUGCAAGUCGAGCGGUAGCACAGAGAGCUUGCUCUCGGGUGACGAGCGGCGGACGGGUGAGUAAUGUCUGGGAAACUGCCUGAUGGAGGGGGAUAACUACUGGAAACGGUAGCUAAUACCGCAUAAUGUCGCAAGACCAAAGUGGGGGACCUUCGGGCCUCAUGCCAUCAGAUGUGCCCAGAUGGGAUUAGCUAGUAGGUGGGGUAACGGCUCACCUAGGCGACGAUCCCUAGCUGGUCUGAGAGGAUGACCAGCCACACUGGAACUGAGACACGGUCCAGACUCCUACGGGAGGCAGCAGUGGGGAAUAUUGCACAAUGGGCGCAAGCCUGAUGCAGCCAUGCCGCGUGUGUGAAGAAGGCCUUCGGGUUGUAAAGCACUUUCAGCGGGGAGGAAGGCGAUAAGGUUAAUAACCUUGUCGAUUGACGUUACCCGCAGAAGAAGCACCGGCUAACUCCGUGCCAGCAGCCGCGGUAAUACGGAGGGUGCAAGCGUUAAUCGGAAUUACUGGGCGUAAAGCGCACGCAGGCGGUCUGUCAAGUCGGAUGUGAAAUCCCCGGGCUCAACCUGGGAACUGCAUUCGAAACUGGCAGGCUAGAGUCUUGUAGAGGGGGGUAGAAUUCCAGGUGUAGCGGUGAAAUGCGUAGAGAUCUGGAGGAAUACCGGUGGCGAAGGCGGCCCCCUGGACAAAGACUGACGCUCAGGUGCGAAAGCGUGGGGAGCAAACAGGAUUAGAUACCCUGGUAGUCCACGCCGUAAACGAUGUCGAUUUGGAGGUUGUGCCCUUGAGGCGUGGCUUCCGGAGCUAACGCGUUAAAUCGACCGCCUGGGGAGUACGGCCGCAAGGUUAAAACUCAAAUGAAUUGACGGGGGCCCGCACAAGCGGUGGAGCAUGUGGUUUAAUUCGAUGCAACGCGAAGAACCUUACCUGGUCUUGACAUCCACAGAACUUAGCAGAGAUGCUUUGGUGCCUUCGGGAACUGUGAGACAGGUGCUGCAUGGCUGUCGUCAGCUCGUGUUGUGAAAUGUUGGGUUAAGUCCCGCAACGAGCGCAACCCUUAUCCUUUGUUGCCAGCGGUCCGGCCGGGAACUCAAAGGAGACUGCCAGUGAUAAACUGGAGGAAGGUGGGGAUGACGUCAAGUCAUCAUGGCCCUUACGACCAGGGCUACACACGUGCUACAAUGGCAUAUACAAAGAGAAGCGACCUCGCGAGAGCAAGCGGACCUCAUAAAGUAUGUCGUAGUCCGGAUUGGAGUCUGCAACUCGACUCCAUGAAGUCGGAAUCGCUAGUAAUCGUAGAUCAGAAUGCUACGGUGAAUACGUUCCCGGGCCUUGUACACACCGCCCGUCACACCAUGGGAGUGGGUUGCAAAAGAAGUAGGUAGCUUAACCUUCGGGGGGGCGCUUACCACUUUGUGAUUCAUGACUGGGGUGAAGUCGUAACAAGGUAACCGUAGGGGAACCUGCGGUUGGAUCACCUCCUUA